UACGGGGGGAGCAAGCGUUGUUCGGAUUUACUGGGCGUAAAGGGCGCGUAGGCGGUCGUGACAAGUCACUUGUGAAAUCUCCGGGCUUAACUCGGAACGGUCAAGUGAUACUGUCGGACUAGAGUACAGAAGGGGCAACCGGAAUUCUUGGUGUAGCGGUGAAAUGCGUAGAUAUCAAGAGGAACACCGGAGGUGAAGACGGGUUGCUGGGCUGACACUGACGCUGAGGCGCGAAAGCUAGGGUAGCAAACGGG
rnacentral:rRNA from 1 species